AAAAAAAAAAAAAAUUCUUUGAAAUAGUUACUUUUUAAAUUACCUAAUAUACCACUUUCUUUUCUGCCAAAAUUAUGAAUGGUUUUCCAGUUCAAACUUAGACACACAGUUUACCAUUUAAGGCUCCAGGUCUCAGUUUCUCCUCCUAACUUUCCAGCAUCUGCCCAUACUCUGUAUAAGCCACUUGAACUCUGGCUUUGGCUGUUAAUCUGUAAAUGUCCUAAUGCCAGCAACAAUAUCCUCUUAUAUACAAAUAAUUCCAAGCAUAGGUAGUCUUCUUGUUUAAAAAGGGGAGGGGGCAGAACUUGCCUUGAUUAGAUUAGUAUGAGUUUCUUUUCUGAAUGGCUACGAUAUUUUAAUCUGUGAUAUUUAAAUUAUCACCUUAUAUCCCUCCACGAAUUUUCCUGUGCAUUAGUCUGAUCUCACCAACAUUCGUUAAUUCAACAGGUAGGAAUCCUCAACCUGUGCCUAGGAUUCAGCAACAAACCACCUGGAACACAUGGUCCCUUAGCACUUGAAGAGGUUAAAGCCUAACCUGCUAUGUGACUGUAGACAGAGCCUUUAUAAGGGGAUUAAAUGAGGUCAUAAGAAUGAGUCCCUAACCCACCAGGACUAGUGUCCUGGUAAGAAGAGGGAGGCACACCAGGAGUUUGCCGGCACGGAGGAAAAGCCCUGUGAGGACACGGGGAGGGCAGCUAUCUGUUUACACACCAGGAAGAAAUGUCUCACCAGAUACCAACCCUGGCCGUCUCCUGGAUUUUGGAUUUCCAAUCUCCAGAACUGUGAGAAAAUAAAUUUCUGUUUAAGCCA